AAGGCGUGUGAUCUCGCGAUGUUCGCGCCCCCGCUGGCGGUUGCCGUGGCGACGGGGCCUGGCUCAGGCCGAGGGGUCCAAUAUCCAUAGUUCGUGACAUGAGGAAGGAGCUAUCAGUCUCAGACAACACACGUGAACCCACACCACAUCCAGAUUUAUGCCCCAAAACUCUUUAGUGCUUCUGCCCUCUCUCCUCUAACAAAGGAUAUUGAAUCCAGAUGUGAGCACAGUUAUUACUGUGCAAACACUUUUGAAACAAAAGCCCAAACAAUAUGGGCCAGAAAUUUGAGAAUAAUGGGGUUGACAACAUACUUUGCAAGCGGUCUGGAGUUGAAUUUAAUCAUGCUGUAUAUAUAGUACUUCAUGGCAUAUUUUGUGAUGGCUAAGUCAGUUCAGUGAUUAACAUAGGGCAAAGUGAACAGUAAAGUGUGUGAACUAGAAGAACAAUGUUGUGGACAGUGAGUGGUACAAUGAACUAUUUGAGUUUUGAUAGGAGUAUUUAUUCACUAAAAUAAAUGAUAUGAUGUAGCUAUGUAAUAUUGCAAAGGAAACUGGAAUGAAAUAAGUAACUGAGAAGACGACAGAAAGUUUGGGAUGGAAGUUAACAACAACAACAACAAAAUUACAUUUGUAUAGUGCCUUUCAUGUCGGGAGGACAUCCCAAGGCGCUGGGUUAAGGUUAGAGUUAAGGUAAAAUAUUUGGUACAGGGUAGUCCAACAGAUUGGACUAAGACAGUGUGUUGUAUAAAUUUUACCCCCCACCCACCACACACACAUUUAGUUGUUGGUAUCAAUUUUUGUAUUGUUUCUACCAUCUAGUGGCUGUGAGGGAGUAGCUUUAAUGGUGACCUAGUAGCAGAUCAUCAUCUUAUUCUCACUGUUGAAAGUCCUACAUUGCCCAGGAAGAUCAGACAGAUUAGAAACUUUUCCCUCCGCAAAAAUUACAAUUCAACAAUAUAUAUAACAGCGUUUAACUGACAUUAUUAACUAUGGAUGUUGUUGAAUUAGCAUUUCACGUAUAACACGGCCUCUGAGCUAUUUAACCCCACAUUAUAAUGAGGCUAUCCUGUACCAAUAAUUUCAUUCAUAUUUCAGAAGGCAUAAUUAAGAUGUUUGCCUUAAUAAAAUUAUGCAUUUGCAAAUGUAAAUUCCACUUGGCCUAGAUUUAUUUUAUUUUCAUUUUCUACAGAAUACACAGUCAUUAUACCUGAUGUGAAAGGCUUUACAGUGAAAUUCAUAGAAGUCUUAUCUUUAUAAAUCAUAUAAUUGCCAAUGGUACAUCAAGGUCAUAAAUAAAUACUAUGAUUUGUGAAUAUCAAAUGUCAUAGUUAAACUUAAGUACACAGCCAUGUGUACCAUCACUUCCUGUGAACAGAUAGGCCUCCAUCAUGACAAAGGCUUCCAUCCAAUGGAAUGCAUUAUAACUAUCAGUGGCCCUUGUACUGUAGUUGAAUGAAAAUAAUUUGUUUUGAUGAUUGUUGGUAGAAAAUAAUAGAAUAUUUUUACAUUACAUGUGUUUACCUCGUGUAAACCUCUCCCUUGCUCAGUGUCAAGCUCUUCCAUUGUUAAAUGCUCUGAGACAUAAUGCAUGAAAGUUGUUGGUGUAAUCCACAUUUCUUUCAUAAAAUAUGUUACACGAUAAAUUUUGUAUUAAGGAAAUGCAAUUAAUUAAAUUCAAAGCUACUUCGUUGUCCAA